CGUACACUCCUACGGGAGGCAGCAGUGGGGAAUAUUGCACAAUGGGCGCAAGCCUGAUGCAGCCAUGCCGCGUGUAUGAAGAAGGCCUUCGGGUUGUAAAGUACUUUCAGCGGGGAGGAAGGCAAUACGGUUAAUAACCGUGUUGAUUGACGUUACCCGCAGAAGAAGCACCGGCUAACUCCGUGCCAGCAGCCGCGGUAAUACGGAGGGUGCAAGCGUUAAUCGGAAUUACUGGGCGUAAAGCGCACGCAGGCGGUCUGUCAAGUCGGAUGUGAAAUCCCCGGGCUCAACCUGGGAACUGCAUUCGAAACUGGCAGGCUUGAGUCUUGUAGAGGGGGGUAGAAUUCCAGGUGUAGCGGUGAAAUGCGUAGAGAUCUGGAGGAAUACCGGUGGCGAAGGCGGCCCCCUGGACAAAGACUGACGCUCAGGUGCGAAAGCGUGGGGAGCAAACAGGAUUAGAAACCCCUGUAGUCCCAUG
rnacentral:rRNA from 1 species